rnacentral:misc_RNA from 1 species
CCGAGUUUACAACUCCCCAAACCCCUGUGAACAUACCACUUGUUGCCUCGGCGGAUCAUGCCCGCUCCCGGUAAAACGGGACGGCCCGCCAGAGGACCCCUAAACUCUGUUUCUAUAUGUAACUUCUGAGUAAAACCAUAAAUAAAUCA